GGAAGGAAAAAAGAAAAAAUGUGAUCAAAGACACACAGAUUUCAAAAGUUGGAACUACUACUCUAUCACUAGAUAAACUGGAAGAAAUUGCUGAUUGUCAGGAAUUUACCAGAACUAGUUACAGUGAUUCCAACAUUUAUCUCCGAAAAAGGUUUUCUAACACUUCUGAGAAGGAAACCUCUGGUGAAAGUGAGCAGGAGAUGACAGAUG